UUCCCUCUGAAGUGCAAACAAACCACUAGCAAUUCAGCAUGGGUUUCCUCCUCCCCCCCUUCUAUCCUUCCAUCCUCCCUCCCUUUCUUCCUUUUACCCGCCCCCCUUCCCACUCCUCCUCCACACCCCCAACCUUUGAGGUUUCUACAUUUCUGUCCUCCAUCAUGUGUGGAACAAAUUGACUAUGAAGCUAGAAGACAGAGAGGAAGAAAAAAAAAAAAAAGUCCAAAGAGCUCCCGAAAGGAAAUGUGACAGAGACAGGGAGAAAGGGAAAACACUGGGAGAGAAAAGAUGGAAGGAAAAAACGGAAAAGGGUUUCCGAUUUUGUUCUUUUCCAACCUGGCAAAAUGCACCAUUAUACCCUGGGGAGGGACAUGGACUCUGAUAAAGAAUCUCUUACGGCCAAAGAUGUUUUAAAUGAACCCUUGCCGUGUGCAAAAUCAUAUGCUGAAAAAGACAGAAACUCCAAGCAUUCAUUUCAUCAACUCAACACAUUACUCCUUAUUUUCACAAGUGGUGUGUAUGGGAUAGUAAAUCUUAAUCGUUUCAUUACUUUCAAUUACACCUGACAUUGUUUUUUGAGUGUAGGCAAAAUGGUUACUGUCUGCUAAAAUCUGAGGAAACGAAAGGGAAAAAUAUGUUAUUCGAUCAAAUUUAUCAUCUCCCCUAUUGCCUCUCCAUCCUGAAGACAUUAUAAAUAGUUAUCCUGGGUGAAUGUUGGAUAAGUAGGACAUGGGGAUGGGGCAGGCCUUCUUCAGACAUACUUUAGCAGAUCAGAAAUAGAGGCUUAGGUACAUGAAAGAGUAUUUUCUUUGGUUGCUGUUAUUCUUGAGUUAAACCUUAGGAAUGUAUGUAUCACCACAGAAUUCUGGACAGCCAGGCCGCUUUGUCUGUCAGAUGGUAGGUUCUCACGUUCACUUGUUCCUUGCAGAUUGGAGGAGAGAACAGUUGCUGAAUGAAGGACUUCAGGAAAAAUAUGGUAAAGCCUCUUUUAUAUCCCCUCACCACCCAAACAUUGUAGAACACCUGCGUUCGUGGUGUUGUAAAGAUAUCCCAGCUUUUAGCCAACGUGUCACCACUGGCUUGCCCUCUCCCAGAUCUCUGCUAUUCUGGCACAAUUUUGCAGUUAGGGACUCUCCCAUAUUCCUCCCUUCUCUGCUCUUGCAAAGCCUGUAUGUUCCAAUAUAGUCUGUGGGUCAAGUGUAAACUCGAGGGGCAUCCCUGCACUGACUCUGAGCACAUGACCCAAGUGUCCCCAGGUAUUCGUAGACUUCCCAUUGUUUUACCUAGGAAUUUUUUAUUUAGAACCAAUGAGAGUAAUUUUCAUUCUUUCCUUUUUACUUCAUUGACACAGCUGUCAAUUUUGCAAACUCCAACUACUUCAAAUAUUUGUAGAAGGAUUUCAUAGCUUAAGGAAAGAUCAAUAAUAAUAAUCAUAAUACAUUUCUGAUUUCUAAGUUUUCAUGCGAAUGACACAAGGAACUACUGUCCUACAAUGUUCCCAGAAGGCUUUUCAUAAAACACAAACGUAGUCUUUAGAAGUUUAAUAUCCUGUUUU
rnacentral:lncRNA from 1 species